GACGAACGCUGGCGGCGUGCUUAACACAUGCGAGUCGAACGGUAAGGCCCUUCGGGGUACACGAGUGGCGAACGGGUGAGUAACACGUGGGUGAUCUGCCCUGCACUUCGGGAUAAGCCUGGGACACUGGGUCUAAUACCGGAUAGGACUCCGGACUGCAUGGUCUGGGGUGGAAAGCUUUUGCGGUGUGGGAUGGGCCCGCGGCCUAUCAGCUUGUUGGUGGGGUGAUGGCCUACCAAGGCGACGACGGGUAGCCGGCCUGAGAGGGUGACCGGCCACACUGGGACUGAGAUACGGCCCAGACUCCUACGGGAGGCAGCAGUGGGGAAGAUUGCACAAUGGGCGCAAGCCUGAUGCAGCGACGCCGCGUGAGGGAUGACGGCCUUCGGGUUGUAAACCUCUUUCAGCUAUGACGAAGCGCAAGUGACGGUAGUAGCAGAAGAAGGACCGGCCAACUACGUGCCAGCAGCCGCGGUAA
rnacentral:rRNA from 1 species